GCUUAGGCUACUGUUCAGUGACAAACAGGUUGGAGAUACUCCAGAAGCAGGCCCGUGACUCUGGUCCAUACGUGUUCCCCCUUGUACCAUUAUUGAGCAGGCUAGGCGGCGGGGGAGGGGGAUUCAUCAGUGGCAGAGCAUGGUAGAAAUCAGAAUCUGAGCGGGAGGCAGGAGACUCUGGUACAAGAGGAGGCGCCAGGACGGGCGGGCCACCGGGGAAAUCCUCCGCCGGGCCGCCGGGGGAAUCCAGCGCGGGUCGCAGCGGGCACCGCCGCCCCUGUCAUCUCGCCGCCUCCUGGAGUAUGGAUCCAUCUCAGGCCAGAUUGGGAACGGGGUUGGGGCAGCAAUUAUUGUCAGGUGUUCACAUCUAAGCAGUCAUCAUGCUGAACUACAGCAAGCUCAACAAGCUGCCCACGAUCGUUGAAGAGGACGAAUCAGACAGGGGGGAUGGAUAUAACGGUCCUCCAUUCAGUGUUACUUUGUUAUAUCAUGGUUUGACCAGCAGAAACGAGACAUCAUUACCUUGAUGGGUUGGGGUGGCACUCUAUCCAUGCAACUGAUCAGCAAGUUAAGCGUCUAGCACAUGGUUUGGCUUUUAGGGAUGGUGGAUGAAGUCAUACAAGCCAUUAUCAUGGGACCGAAUAAGGUUUUUAAGUUCAACGAGAGCGACGUUGAGAAGGUAUUCAGAAUGCCAGCAGUUGGAACAGAUGUGAUGGACAAAAUCCUUGAUAGGAGCGAGACUGUUUUUGCAUACUUGCGAGCUCGAUUGGGGAUAGAGAAUAAGGAGAUAAGAAGUCUGAAGAGCAUACAGUCCACACUGUCACGUCACUAUAAGGGGAAGAUGUCACAAGCAGAGGUGGCUGCAUUCAAAACUACGUACAUCGUCUUCAUGAUGACACAUGUAUUUGCACCGACAGUCAAGAACGACUACUUCUACACCGACUAUUGGUCCGCACUGGUUGACCCGGAUAGCUUGGAUAAGUUCAAUUGGGGAAGAUAUAUCGUUGAAGUAUUGUGUGCUGCCGCCGGGAAGAUGAAACAAGAUAUUCGCAGGAAAACCACGGUGUCGAACAUAACAUGAUGUUUAUUCAUCCUAAGCGCCAAUUGUCCGCAAGAAAAUCAUCAUAUCUACCUAUCAUGCCUGCGGGCACCUGUAUGGUUUCUACGCCAUAACUUCUGCAGGAAUUUCAGUGGCGACCAAGCGAGUCAUAAUAUUCAUGUGGACGAUGACAGUUAUCUGGCAGCAUGUUACCUUUACGACAUAUUGCAUCUCAAUGGGAACAAUGCAAGGAGGCCGCAUCAGUUCAUCGAGUCUAUCGAUGAAUGAAAGAGCAUGCAGUUUCGAGUGAACGUCAGGGUGUAACAAUAUGAAGUCUCUUGGGGGCAUUUUUUGCCAGAGACUGUUUCUGUUGGGGCCGAAGUGUUUGUAUGUUAAUGAUCUAGAUUGGCUAUGUGGACCUAUAUAUUAUGAUGUCAAACCAUGGACAAAAAUAUAAGUUGUUUGGUAUGGAUGUCAAGUUAUGAACGACUGGCUGCAUGAUUUUCAUUGUUUUAAAUAUUAGUUGGAGUUG